rnacentral:rRNA from 1 species
UCAAGAAUUUUCCACAAUGGGCGAAAGCCUGAUGGAGCGACGCCGCGUGCAGGAUGACGGCCUUCGGGUUGUAAACUGCUUUUGCGAAGGACGAAUUCGUGACGGUACUUCGCGAAUAAGAGGUUGCUAACUCUGUGCCAGCAGCAGCGGUAAUACAGAGACCUCAAGCGUUAUCCGGAUUUAUUGGGCGUAAAGCGUCCGCAGGUGGUUUGACAAGUCAGGGGUAAAAUCCCUCCGCUUAACGGAGGAUCUGCUUUUGAAACUAUCAAACUAGAGGAUGGAAGAGGUAAGCGGAAUUGCUGGUGUAGUCGUAAUAAGCGUUGAUAUCAGCAGGAACACCAAAUGCGAAGGCAGCUUACUAGUACAUCUCUGACACUCAUGGACGAAAGCGUGGGGAGCAAACAGG